GACGUUAUCUACAGAAGAAGCACCGGCUAACUCCGUGCCAGCAGCCGCGCUAAUAUGGAGUGUGCGAGCGUUAAUCGGAAUAACUGGGCGUAAAGGGCACGCAGGCGGUGACUUAAGUGAGGUGUGAAAGCCCCGGGCUUAACCUGGGAAUUGCAUUUCAUACUGGGUCGCUAGAGUACUUUAGGGAGGGGUAGAAUUCCACGUGUAGCGGUGAAAUGCGUAGAGAUGUGGAGGAAUACCGAAGGCGAAGGCA
rnacentral:rRNA from 1 species